UGUUUAGUCAAGAUGUUUUCAAUUGUAUUCGAGGGAAUUGUUUUACAAUUACUGUUGAAUUUGAUUUGACAUGUGCAAUACAUUAAUUAGCCAUGGCAAUGUGGCAUUAUACUAUAGGGAUGAAGUUUAACAUACACUACGAGCUGAAAAACCGUUAGCGUACUUAUAUUCAAAAAAUGGAACCGGAAUAAUAUAAAAUAAUGAAUUAUGUCACUGUCAUUGGACAUAAGCCUAGUAGAAAAUGUAUCUAAGGCAUCAAUCAAGUUGGAAUUAGGACGAUUUUGGUAGUUAAUAAAAAAUUAGGUCCAAUAAGUCUUUUUUACUUUUAGUAAAAAAACUUUUUGAACAGAUCUACCUAUUCUGUUUCAUGAGAGGCUAGAAUAGAAGGGUUUCUUCUCUUUUGAUUAUUAUUACUAGUAUUAGUAUUUACUGAGACACUAAUCACUCACUCACUCACUCUCACUUGCCUGAAUAAUCAGAUGGUGGGUGAGUGUCGUAGAAGUAGUAGAAAAAUAGAGAUUGAAUGAAGGAAAAAGGUGUGGACACCAUCCAAUGUCACCGAAUCUAUCACGUGGCUCACCAGUCGAGGCUCUCCUAAUCUCUUUCCCCAAUAAAACAUUGAAUGAAAAGCCAAUGUCACCACACCUGAGGCCAUUUACUACUGCACUUUUGAUUGGUAAAACUCAAACACUUCUGCUGAUGAAGAAUAGGCUUCAAAGUACACCAGAGAUGCCAUUUGCAGAUGUUAUGAGACACUUCUUGGAUUUGGGUUUUUACCUACGGUCUAAUCUGAAGCUCCCAUAUAAUAAAUACGACAACAAGUUUAGGUUCCCUAGGAUGCAAGAUAUUCGAUUUCGGUAACAGGUCUACACGUAUCUCGCUCAACAGAAAGAAAAAUAUCUUGGAAGCCUUGACGCAGUUCCAUGCAAUAAAAGUAAUCAGAACAGACAACAGAGAGAAAAUAUCUUGUGUUCCUAAUUUAAAUAAUUUAAUCGUAUUUCAAACGAAAAAUAGACCACUUGUGAAAAGAAAACACCUUAAUUAUUGACAGAUAAUAAUUGUUUCUUCCAAUGAAAUGCAAAAUCCUUCUCCCCGCAGAGCCAUUCAUCGGUUCACCUGCGUAGGGACACGAUGGCCCAUUUAGCCACCAUAGCAAUUUUAUUUUUCACACUUCUCAUAAUCGAACAAGAUAAACGAAGGCAUAAACAUUGCAAACAACAAACCAGGAUGUACUUGAAUAUCGAUUUUAUUCCUUUGCAAAGGUUAAUAAUAACAUCGAGUCCACCAAUAUCUUAAUAUUCAACCAAAGUACAUGCAUAUAAAUUAUGCAAAAGUCCUUAAAAUAUCAUAGUAAGUAAAAUAAUUUAACAAGUUUAACAACUCUAUUUGAUACCAAAUACAACAACAAAGUUCCAGUUUUAUUUGUGAUCAGAAUCCGUAGC